CCAGAGCCUGAAUCAGUGUGUGUGUUAGUGGAAGCGUCUGGAAAGGCGCGCGAUACAGGGUGACAGCCCCGUACACAAAAAUGCACAUGCUGUGAGCUCGAUGAGUAGGGCGGGACACGUGGUAUCCUGUCUGAAUAUGGGGGGACCAUCCUCCAAGGCUAAAUACUCCUGACUGACCGAUAGUGAACCAGUACCGUGAGGGAAAGGCGAAAAGAACCCCGGCGAGGGGAGUGAAAAAGAACCUGAAACCGUGUACGUACAAGCAGUGGGAGCACGCUUAGGCGUGUGACUGCGUACCUUUUGUAUAAUGGGUCAGCGACUUAUAUUCUGUAGCAAGGUUAACCGAAUAGGGGAGCCGAAGGGAAACCGAGUCUUAACUGGGCGUUAAGUUGCAGGGUAUAGACCCGAAACCCGGUGAUCUAGCCAUGGGCAGGUUGAAGGUUGGGUAACACUAACUGGAGGACCGAACCGACUAAUGUUGAAAAAUUAGCGGAUGACUUGUGGCUGGGGGUGAAAGGCCAAUCAAACCGGGAGAUAGCUGGUUCUCCCCGAAAGCUAUUUAGGUAGCGCCUCGUGAAUUCAUCUCCGGGGGUAGAGCACUGUUUCGGCAAGGGGGUCAUCCCGACUUACCAACCCGAUGCAAACUGCGAAUACCGGAGAAUGUUAUCACGGGAGACACACGGCGGGUGCUAACGUCCGUCGUGAAGAGGGAAACAACCCAGACCGCCAGCUAAGGUCCCAAAGUCAUGGUUAAGUGGGAAACGAUGUGGGAAGGCCCAGACAGCCAGGAUGUUGGCUUAGAAGCAGCCAUCAUUUAAAGAAAGCGUAAUAGCUCACUGGUCGAGUCGGCCUGCGCGGAAGAUGUAACGGGGCUAAACCAUGCACCGAAGCUGCGGCAGCGACGCUUAUGCGUUGUUGGGUAGGGGAGCGUUCUGUAAGCCUGUGAAGGUGUGCUGUGAGGCAUGCUGGAGGUAUCAGAAGUGCGAAUGCUGACAUAAGUAACGAUAAAGCGGGUGAAAAGCCCGCUCGCCGGAAGACCAAGGGUUCCUGUCCAACGUUAAUCGGGGCAGGGUGAGUCGACCCCUAAGGCGAGGCCGAAAGGCGUAGUCGAUGGGAAACAGGUUAAUAUUCCUGUACUUGGUGUUACUGCGAAGGGGGGACGGAGAAGGCUAUGUUGGCCGGGCGACGGUUGUCCCGGUUUAAGCGUGUAGGCUGGUUUUCCAGGCAAAUCCGGAAAAUCAAGGCUGAGGCGUGAUGACGAGGCACUACGGUGCUGAAGCAACAAAUGCCCUGCUUCCAGGAAAAGCCUCUAAGCAUCAGGUAACAUCAAAUCGUACCCCAAACCGACACAGGUGGUCAGGUAGAGAAUACCAAGGCGCUUGAGAGAACUCGGGUGAAGGAACUAGGCAAAAUGGUGCCGUAACUUCGGGAGAAGGCACGCUGAUAUGUAGGUGAAGUCCCUCGCGGAUGGAGCUGAAAUCAGUCGAAGAUACCAGCUGGCUGCAACUGUUUAUUAAAAACACAGCACUGUGCAAACACGAAAGUGGACGUAUACGGUGUGACGCCUGCCCGGUGCCGGAAGGUUAAUUGAUGGGGUCAGCGCAAGCGAAGCUCUUGAUCGAAGCCCCGGUAAACGGCGGCCGUAACUAUAACGGUCCUAAGGUAGCGAAAUUCCUUGUCGGGUAAGUUCCGACCUGCACGAAUGGCGUAAUGAUGGCCAGGCUGUCUCCACCCGAGACUCAGUGAAAUUGAACUCGCUGUGAAGAUGCAGUGUACCCGCGGCAAGACGGAAAGACCCCGUGAACCUUUACUAUAGCUUGACACUGAACAUUGAGCCUUGAUGUGUAGGAUAGGUGGGAGGCUUAGAAGUGUGGACGCCAGUCUGCAUGGAGCCGACCUUGAAAUACCACCCUUUAAUGUUUGAUGUUCUAACGUUGACCCGUAAUCCGGGUUGCGGACAGUGUCUGGUGGGUAGUUUGACUGGGGCGGUCUCCUCCUAAAGAGUAACGGAGGAGCACGAAGGUUGGCUAAUCCUGGUCGGACAUCAGGAGGUUAGUGCAAUGGCAUAAGCCAGCUUGACUGCGAGCGUGACGGCGCGAGCAGGUGCGAAAGCAGGUCAUAGUGAUCCGGUGGUUCUGAAUGGAAGGGCCAUCGCUCAACGGAUAAAAGGUACUCCGGGGAUAACAGGCUGAUACCGCCCAAGAGUUCAUAUCGACGGCGGUGUUUGGCACCUCGAUGUCGGCUCAUCACAUCCUGGGGCUGAAGUAGGUCCCAAGGGUAUGGCUGUUCGCCAUUUAAAGUGGUACGCGAGCUGGGUUUAGAACGUCGUGAGACAGUUCGGUCCCUAUCUGCCGUGGGCGCUGGAGAACUGAGGGGGGCUGCUCCUAGUACGAGAGGACCGGAGUGGACGCAUCACUGGUGUUCGGGUUGUCAUGCCAAUGGCACUGCCCGGUAGCUAAAUGCGGAAGAGAUAAGUGCUGAAAGCAUCUAAGCACGAAACUUGCC
rnacentral:rRNA from 1 species